rnacentral:rRNA from 1 species
UGCCAGCCGCCGCGGUAAUACGGAGGGUGCAAGCGUUGUUCGGAAUUACUGGGCGUAAAGCGCGCGUAGGCGGGUCAGUAAGUCGAUUGUGAAAUCCCGGAGCUCAACUCCGGACGUGCAGUCGAAACUGCCGAUCUUGAAUACCUAAGAGGAUGGCGGAAUUCCCGGUGUAGGAGUGAAAUCCGUAGAUAUCGGGAGGAACACCCGAGGCGAAGGCGGCCAUCUGGUGGUGUAUUGACGCUGAAGCGCGAAAGCGUGGGGAGCAAACAGGAUUAGAUA